GGAUUGAACGCUGGCGGCAGGCCUAACACAUGCAAGUCGAGCGGUAGAGAGGUGCUUGCACCUCUUGAGAGCGGCGGACGGGUGAGUAAUGCCUAGGAAUCUGCCUAGUGGUGGGGGAUAACGUUCGGAAACGGACGCUAAUACCGCAUACGUCCUACGGGAGAAAGCGGGGGACCUUCGGGCCUCGCGCCAUUAGAUGAGCCUAGGUCGGAUUUAGCUAGUUGGUGAGGUAAUGGCUCACCAAGGCGACGAUCCGUAACUGGUCUGAGAGGAUGAUCAGUCACACUGGACUGAGCACGGUCCAGCUCCGUAGGAGGCAGCAGGUAGGGAAUAGUAGGACUAAGUCGGGGACGUAAAGCCC
rnacentral:rRNA from 1 species